GUGAGGAAUUUUCCGCAAUGGGCGAAAGCCUGACGGAGCAAUGCCGCGUGAAGGAUGAAGGCCUAUGGGUUGUAAACUUCUUUUCUCAGAAAAGAAUUAUGACGGUAUCUGAGGAAUAAGCAUCGGCUAACUCUGUGCCAGCAGCCGCGGUAAGACAGAGGAUGCAAGCGUUAUCCGGACUGAUUGGGCGUAAAGCGUCUGUAGGUUGUUUAAAAAGUAUUCUGUCAAAGAUUAGGGCUUAACCCUAGAUAGGCAGAAUAAACUUGUAAGGUAGAGUUUGGUAGAGGCAGAGGGAAUUCCCGGUGGAGCGGUGAAAUGCGUAGAUAUCGGGAGGAACACCAAAGGCGAAGGCACUCUGCUGGGCCAAUACUAACACUGAGAGACGAAAGCGAGGGGAGCAAAUGGGAUUAGAUACCCUUGUAGUCC
rnacentral:rRNA from 1 species